AACCUGCGUCCUCAUGGUUGCUAGACGGGUUCACUAACUGCCAAGCCACAACGGGAACUCGGUAAAUCAACUAUCAUUUUAAAAACUUAGAAAAAAGUUCUUAAUGUGUGUUACAGGAAACCAGCUUUCAAAUUUAUUAGCACUACUUUAGAUGUCAGAGUUGAAGAGCAAGAUGAAUUAAAGCAAGAGCGCAUUUAUUAGAAAUGUUUUCACCUUCCAUCUGGCUUGCUAGCACUUCUGAUGAAAACCUGACUUUCGGAGUUCUCUUCGCGGCUCAGAGGUUAACGAGGAUGCGGUUUUGACCCCUGGCCUCGCUCAGGGGGUUAAGGCUCUGGCGUCGCCCUGCGCAGUGAUGCAGGUCGAAAAUGCGGCUCCGAUCCAGCGUUUCUGUGCCAGGAGCUGCAGCUCCAAUUUGACCCCUCAGCCUGGGAACUUCUAUAUGCCGCCUGUGGGGCCCUAAAAAGACAAAAAACAAAAACAAAACAAAAAAACCCAAAACCAAAAACUAAACCCGAAAACUGGGUGUGAUCCUCCAGAGGAGGAGCUGCACCUCAGAGGGUGACACUGCUCCCUAGAGGAUUUCUCCCUCUCUUGGGAGAGGGCCCAGCUUAAGUCUGGGAAUCUCUAGUAGUCUUCAGGAAUGAUUUCGAGAACCCCAAACCAGUACUCUCUCAGGCCGAGUCUGCGGUAGCCUUCCAGCAUGCGGUGUCCAGCGCCCGUCCCGCUUGGCCCCAACGACGACGCCGGCUCUCUAGCCAGCCCAGGAGGAGCGUCCCAACAAACCUUACCACGUCCGCCCCGGCGCUAGCACCUUGGAGUCUCCCCUGCCGGCUUUUCGCACCCUGGGGCCCCGCCCUCUCCCAGGCCCCGCCCUCCGCCCCGCCCCGCCCUAUCCUCCUCCCGCCCGCGGGCGGGCUCUCAGUGACCAGCCCCAGGCUCCCUGCCGCCCCGCGCAUGCUUUCCCUCUGCUUCCUCCCGGGCGGUCUCCGGCGGCGCAAAGGCACCCCGAAACUUCCCGGUCCCUCAGAUACAGUAGCACCAGUCAGGAAUAACAGACACGCUUGCACACUCUCCAUAAAUACAGGAAAGACACAAAAGGAAGACAGACACAAAAGUGAGAUGUGUUCACAAGAAGAACAGACUCAGAAUUCUCAAAAGCCUCCCCUCCAGAAACCCAGAAGAGUCCAGACCAUCAGCUUUCCUCUGACAUUUGUUGCGAGGCAUGUGCGCUGGUUUAUACAGUACUAAGAGGAUCCUGAAGGAGUAUGAUGGUUACUAGGGUGUGGAGCCAAUGACAGCCUGAGUAAGAUCAAGCAGCCUCCUAAAAGAGGCAGCCCUGACCAAGGCAAUUACUAUUGUAAAUGGAAAAGGAAGAGGAAAGGAAGUUUGUUAGGCAACAGCAGCACCAUUAUAUUGAGACAAUCACCCAGCAAAAUCAUUCCGCCCACUCAGUUGCGUGGUUUCUCAGAAUAAACUGCGUGUUUUUG